CAGUCGCCGCGGGAAUACGGAGGAUGCAAGCGUCAAUCGGAAUUACUGGGCGUAAAGCGUGCGUAGGCGGUUCGUUAAGUCUGUUGUGAAAGCCCCGGGCUCAACCUGGGAGUGGCAAUGGAUACUGGCGAGCUAGAGUGUGUCAGAGGAUGGUGGAAUUCCCGGUGUAGCGGUGAAAUGCGUAGAGAUCGGGAGGAACAUCAGUGGUGAAGGCGGCCAUCUGGGACAACACUGACGCUGAGGCACGAAAGCGUGGGGAGCAAACAGGAUUAGAUACCCCUGUAGUCCCUGUCUCUUAUAC
rnacentral:rRNA from 1 species